rnacentral:rRNA from 1 species
GUCGAACGGCAGCGGCGGGCAACCCUGGCGGCGAGUGGCGAACGGGUGAGUAAUGCAUCGGAACGUAUCCUGUAAGUGGGGAUAACGUAGCGAAAGUUACGCUAAUACCGCAUACGCUCGAGAGAGGAAAGUGGGGGAUCGCAAGACCUCACGUUAUAGGAGCGGCCGAUGUCCGAUUAGCUAGUUGGUGGGGUAAAGGCCUACCAAGGCGACGAUCGGUAGCUGGUCUGAGAGGAUGAUCAGCCACACUGGGACUGAGACACGGCCCAGACUCCUACGGGAGGCAGCAGUGGGGAAUUUUUGGACAAUGGGCGAAAGCCUGAUCCAGCCAUGCCGCGUGCGGGAAGAAGGCCUUCGGGUUGUAAACCGCUUUAGUCCGGGAAAAAGGGGCGCGAGGUUAAUACCCUCGUGCUUUGAUGGUACUGGAAGAAUAAGCACCGGCUAACUACGUG